rnacentral:rRNA from 1 species
GACGAACGCUGGCGGCGUGCCUAAUACAUGCAAGUCGAGCGCUGAAGGUUGGUACUUGUUCCAACUGGAUGAGCAGCGGACGGGUGAGUAACGCGUGGGGAAUCUGCCUUUGAGCGGGGGACAACAUCUGGAAACGAAUGCUAAUACCGCAUAAAAACUUUAAACACAAGUUUAAAGUUUGAAAGAUGCAAUUGCAUCAUUCAAUGACGAUCUCGCGUUGUAUUAGUUAGUUGGUGAGGUAAAGGCUCACCAAGGCAAUGAUACAUUGCCGACCUGAGAGGGUUGUCGGCCACAAUGGGAAUGAGACAAGGCCCAAGCUGCCACCGGGAGGAGCAAGAGGGAAACUUCGGGAAUGGGGGGAAAGCUUGACGAGGAACGCCGGAUGGGGUAAGAAAGUUUUCGGAUCGUGAAACUCUGUUUGUAGGGGAAAAAGUUGGUGAGAAUGGAAAGCUCAUGAAGUGACGGUAACUACCCAGAAAGGUACGGCUAACUACGUG